GACGAACGCUGGCGGCGUGCCUAAUACAUGCAAGUUGAGCGCUGAAGGUUGGUACUUGUACCAACUGGAUGAGCAGCGAACGGGUGAGUAACGCGUGGGGAAUCUGCCUUUGAGCGGGGGACAACAUUUGGAAACGAAUGCUAAUACCGCAUAAAAACUUUAAACACAAGUUUUAAGUUUGAAAGAUGCAAUUGCAUCACUCAAAGAUGAUCCCGCGUUGUAUUAGCUAGUUGGUGAGGUAAAGGCUCACCAAGGCGAUGAUACAUAGCCGACCUGAGAGGGUGAUCGGCCACAUUGGGACUGAGACACGGCCCAAACUCCUACGGGAGGCAGCAGUAGGGAAUCCUCGGCAAUGGACGAAAGUCUGACCGAGCAACGCCGCGUGAGUGAAGAAGGUUUUCGGAUCGUAAAACUCUGUUGGUAGAGAAGAACGUUGGUGAGAGUGGAAAGCUCAUAAAGUGACGGUAACUACCCAGAAAGGGACGGCUAACUACGUG
rnacentral:rRNA from 1 species